AUGAAUCACUCAUCCAUAGCUAUUAAUCAAAACGCAGCACCUCCAUCAAAAACAACAAAAUCCCCCCUUUGCUCUUUUGUUGAAUCAGAAAGAAACAAAUUGGUUUGGACUGAACCAGAAACUCCGCCAGAAGCUUUUGGAGGAAGGCGGGGAAGGAAAGAAUCCUCUUUCGUAAGAUCAAAGCUUGAACAUCCCACACAGCUUGAGACACUCCUAAAGUUUUUCUCGGUUCCAGCAUAUCGAAACCGGGUGUUGAAGGAGUACAUUGCAGCAAUUUUGCACACUUAA